UACGUAGGGUGCGAGCGUUAAUCGGGAUUACUGGGCGUAAAGCGUGCGCAGGCGGCCUUGCAAGUCGGGCGUGAAUCCCAACGGCUCACCGUAGGUGAAUGCACUCGAAACUGCGAGGCUAGAGUCUUGGAGAGGAAGGCGGAAUGCUUGGUGUAGAGGUGAAAUUCGUAGAUAUCAAGCGGAACACCGGUGGCGAAGGCGGGUCUCUGGGCCAUUACUGACGCUGAGGAGCGAAAGCGUGGGGAGCGAACAGG
rnacentral:rRNA from 1 species